CAGAAGAAAAGUUGAAAAGAGAGUGUCUAGAACAGGGGAAUCAUGAUUAGCUUGGGAUGGAAGAAGAUGAAGACAUUUUAAGACCCGUUGCUGCAUUGUGCUUGAGAUCCCCAAAGUGCUGGCGUUUGAUAACUUGGUGGAUGUAGAUGCUUAGCCAAUCAGUCACUAGGCUUGUGAAUAUGGAAUCCGGAUGCUCACAAGGAGAAGAGCUGUAUGAAAAAAACCAAAAACAGUGAAAAAGAAAUUGUGCAAGGAAAGUUUGAAGUGUCUGUGGGUAUUAUCAACAUCCAACUUUCUGAGCCUUCGUACUGAAAGUGAAUCCGUUCCUGACACCAGUUAUCUGUCAACCCUCUAACAUGACCAUUUACUAAUUUCAUGGGAUAUCAGUGAGGAAGUGAUUCUCUUGCAAACACCUCAGAAGUUUUGGAUCUUCAUUAAUCGGGAUCUUUGGCACAUACACUGG